rnacentral:rRNA from 1 species
UACCAUGCAGUCGAACGGAAUCUUUCGGGAUUUAGUGGCGGACGGGUGAGUAACGCGUGAGAAUCUGCCUUCAGGUUCGGGACAACAGCUGGAAACGGCUGCUAAUACCGGACGUGCCGAGAGGUGAAAGCUUUAGUGCCUGGAGAUGAGCUCGCGUCCGAUUAGCUAGUAGGAGUGGUAACGGCACCCCUAGGCGACGAUCAGUAGCUGGUCUGAGAGGAUGAUCAGCCACACUGGGACUGAGACACGGCCCAGACUCCUACGGGAGGCAGCAGUGGGGAAUUUUCCGCAAUGGGCGCAAGCCUGACGGAGCAAGACCGCGUGAAGGAAGAAGGUCUGUGGAUUGUAAACCUCUUUUGACAGGGAAGAAGACAGUGACGGUACCUGUCGAAUCAGCCUCGGCUAACUCCGUGCCAGCAGCCGCGGUAAUACGGAGGAGGCAAGCGUUAUCCGGAACUAUUGGGCGUAAAGAGUCCGUAGGUGGGUCACCCAGUCAGCUGUUAAAUAGUGAAGCUUAACUUCAUAGAGGCGGCUGAAACUGGUGGUCUAGAGUGUGGUAGGGGUAGAGGGAAUUUCCAGUGUAGCGGUGAAAUGCGUAGAUAUUGGAAAGAACACCGGUGGCGAAAGCGCUCUACUGGGCCUGCACUGACACUGAGGGACGAAAGCUAGGGGAGCGAAAGGGAUUAGAUACCCCUGUAGUCCUAGCCGUAAACGAUGGAUACUAGGCGUUGCCCGUAUCGACCCGGGCAGUGUCGUAGCCAACGCGUUAAGUAUCCCGCCUGGGGGAGUACCGCUCGCAGAGUGAACUCAAGGAUGAC